rnacentral:rRNA from 1 species
UACGUAGGGAGCAAGCGUUGUCCGGAAUCAUUGGGCGUAAAGCGCGCGUAGGUGGCCUCAUAAGUCCGCUGUGAAAGUCAAAGGCUCAACCUUUGAAAGCCGGUGGAUACUGUGAGGCUAGAGUACGGAAGAGAAGAGUGGAAUUCCACGUGUAGCGGUGAAAUGCGUAGAGAUGUGGAGGAACACCAGUGGCGAAGGCGACUCUUUGGUCUGUAACUGACGCUGAGGCGCGAAAGCGUGGGGAGCAAACAGG